rnacentral:misc_RNA from 1 species
AAAAUGAAAGUUCUCCUGGCAAAUGAUGGCAGCAAAAUCGCCAAGGACGCUUUGGAAUGGUACCUGCAGAACCUUCACAUGGACGACAACAGACUAUACAUAGUACACAUCGUUGACAGUCGGUACGGGUUUGAAAACAAAGGUGAGUUAAAGUUCCUCUCUAUAAAUAAACUGCAUAAAUUUUUAAGCAAUGACAAGUUCUAACGUAUUUAAAUCAAUGUAAAGCCGACGGUAAUGAACCUCUAGAUGUUUAACAUCGUGGUUUUUUCUCAUGAAAAUCUUUAAAAAUUCAUAACUGCUACUGUACUCUGUGUUAUCAUGACGUUAUAAUACAAAUGAAUUAAACUAAAGGCAACUUCAAAGUUUGCAGAUUAUCAAGUCCAUUUUAGACUAUACAUGAACCUUUUUAUAAAAUUGCAUAUUAUUACUAAAAGCAUGAAAUGAGUAUCUGCAAAAACUAAUCAAAUAUAACUAUUUGCAGUCAUGUUCCAGAGGUCAAGUACUUCAACUGAUUGUUUUCAUUUCUCUCUGUUUGGCAUGAAUAAAAAUUAAUACAGCAUACAUAACUUAUUUACAAAUCUUUUUCAUAAUCUGCUCUGUAAAUUCAUCUGCAUGGACUCUUACUAGGUAAUCACUUUUGAUCUAUUUUUUGAAACAACAAUACAGACCCUGUAGUACCCGGAGAUCAACACUUCUUUGUUUUGAUCCACAAUGAGAAAGAAGACAAAGCAAAGACGCUCUCCGCUGAAAUGGAGACCUUUUUAAAAGACAAUAAAAUUAGCGGAGAGGUAAACAUUCUAUACGGGGAUGCUGGUGAGGAAAUUGUGAAAAGAGCCUCCGAGGUCGACGCAUGCCUCGUGGUCACUGGCACCAGGGGACUGGGCGUCAUUAGACGGACGGUAUUAGGAAGCGUCAGUCAGUAUGUCCUACACCAUUCAAAUGUACCUGUAGCAAUCUACACUGACAAAUGUUUCAAGGGGAAAAAGUGAUAACAUCUGAAAUGCCGAAGUGUAUAUCUAGUGUGUAUAUUUUGUCUUCAUACAAGUAUAUAUGUCUGUUGGUGAUAUUUCUUUUUUGAAAGUUUCAUUUUUUGACAACUUAGACUCUUUUGAACGCAAUUUGAAAAUACAGAUCUGUUAUCUGUCUUCUCUAUCCUUUAAAACCAUUUAGACAAAACAUUCUUUCGCUUUGUGUGUCUAUUUUCUCCUCUAUUUUCUCCUCCCCUUCCUCUUUUCUCCUCUUGUAGUCUCCAUAGAAGUCAUAGAGCCAAUGCCCUGUACAUGUGUAAUUCAAAAUUUGAUUUACGAACUCUCCAUGUACAAAUCUUGCAUGCCUUACUUGGCAGCUUUGUGAUUUUUUGUGAUUGAUGUUAAUUUUGCCUGGUUUCCGUAAUAAUCCUUGUGGUCCAUCCUCUUCCUUAACACAUCUCUGACUACGUUAUCAACUACUUUCUUAAAAUCAAUGCAAUUUGUGUAAAGUGAACCGUUCUAUUACAACACGCAAGAAAUCCAUUUAAUCCAUAUUUGUCAGACCCAGCUUUGUGUCUGCCCUUUUCAUCUCCUGCAUCUCUUACGUUUCUAAUCAAACAUUGGGGAGCGAAAUUUAUUAGAAGUCUGAACUUGUCAUGUAUUAUCCAAAACAAUAUUUCUGUUUUUGAAGACUGCGAUUUAAUUAGGUUGAUAUGCAGCGAUAUUCUGUGUUUGUUUCCUCUGGACAUGCCAAACUUUCACUUGUUUCUUCUGUUUUAAACAUUGUCGCCUUUCAGUUGGAAAUUUAUAUUGUCGACAGUCAAAAUAUAUUUUGAACACGUACCAUUUAUACUUCAAGCAGUUCUAAAUAAAUGUUUCUAUUG